UGAGAAACGAGCACUUUUCAGUGCUUUUUGAGCUAGUGUGAUUAGCUAUGAGGAGACGCCGGUGAAUCAUUUUUUGUUUCUCGCCUUUCAUCCAUGACUUCGUCUCAUAAAACCGAGAGUGACAUCGUGCGCUUUGCGCUCGCAGGAACAUCCAACAUGUCUGCAGCUUGCAUUACGAAUCCUAUAGACGUGAUCAAAAUUAGACUGCAACUAGACAAUGAGCUGAAGAAAACCAAGGGCACAAUUGUGCCAGGAAGAGAUGACAAGCGCUACUAUAAAGGGAUGCUCCGUGGCUUGAGGUCCAUUCUCAGAGAUGAAGGAAUUCGUGGAUUUUACAAGGGUCUACCGGCUUCUCUAAUGCGGGAGAGUAGCUACAGUACAAUCAGACUGGGUGCAUAUGAGCCCAUAAAGAGACUGCUGGGAGCCACUGACCCUGCACACACCCCUCUCUGGAAGAAGAUAUGCGCAGGCGCGACUUCAGGUGCAAUAGGAAGCUCGAUAGCCACUCCAACAGAUCUAGUGAAAGUGAGAAUGCAGGCAUGUACGAGUAGCAGUAAAGGGGGCACUACUAGUAGUAGUAGUACAGCUCUUCAUCAGAAACCCGUGUACGAGAGCACUCUAGGUGCAUUCACUAGUAUAUACAGAGAAGCAGGGUUGAAAGGACUGUAUAGAGGAGUGGGACCAACUGUAAUGAGAGCUACCAUUCUCACUGCUACACAGAUCCCGACUUAUGACCACGUGAAGCACACUCUGUUGAAUUGGGGCUGGUUCCGAGGGGAGGGCCUGGACUUGCACAUUACUGCUUCUAUGAUGGCGGGACUGGCAUCCGCUGCCACAACCUCCCCUGUAGACGUCGUCAAAACAAGAUACAUGCGACAGAUACAGCACAGUGGAGUGUACACUUCUAGUUUGGACUGUGUGAUGAAGAGUUUUUCUGCUGAAGGUGUUUUGGGACUCUACAAGGGCUUCAUCCCCAACUGGAUGCGCAUUGGACCUCAUACCAUAGUAACCUUCCUCAUUUUCGAACAGUUGCGAAGUAUAGUUGGAAUGCGACCAGUCUAGCAAACUUGCUUGAAAAGUGACAUCUAUCUGCUAUCCCUGUCCACGGACCAAUUUUAAUUGCUAUUUUGAAACAUACUGAUAAUCUGAUGGGGUGGGCGAUAUGACUCUGUGGAUGAUGAGGCAUACUGAGACGCACUACGGCGGCAUUUGCACUAAAAAACAGUUUUCUAAUAAAAAUCUAGUCAUAAAUUGUUUUAGUAAUAUGUUUGAGAUUUGAGCUUUUGAAACUUACUGAUAAUCUGAUGGGGUUGGCGAUAUGACUCUAUGGUUGAUGCGGCAUAUACUGAGACGCACUACGGCGGCAUUUGCACUAAAAACAGUUUUCUUAAAAAAUGUAGUCAUAAAUUCUUUUAGUAAUGUAUUUGAGAUUUGAGCUUUUGAAACUUACUGAUAAUCUGAUGGGGUAGGCGAUAUGACUCUAUGGCUGAUGAGGCAUAUACUGAGACGCACUGCGCGGUAUUUGCACUAAAAAUAGUUUUCUAAUAAACUAGUCGUAAACCAUUUUAGUUAUAUAGUUUGAAGUUUGAGAUUUUGAAACAUACUGAUAAUCUGAUGGGGUAAGCGAUAUGACUCUAUGGUUGAUGCGGCAUAUACUGAGACGCACUACGGCGGCAUUUGCACUUAAAACAGUUUUCUUAAAAAAUCUAGUCAUAAAUUCUUUUAGUAAUGUAUUUGAGAUUUGAGCUUUUGAAACUUACUGAUAAUCUGAUGGGGUAGGCGAUAUGACUCUAUGGUUGAUGCGGCAUAUACUGAGACGCACUACGGCGGCAUUUGCACUAAAAACAGUUUUCUUAAAAAAUGUAGUCAUAAAUUCUUUUAGUAAUGUAUUUGAGAUUUGAGCUUUUGAAACUUACUGAUAAUCUGAUGGGGUAGGCGAUAUGACUCUAUGGCUGAUGAGGCAUAUACUGAGACGCAGGCGGCAUUUGCACUAAAAACAGUUGUCUAAUAAACUAGUCAUAAACCGUUUUAAUAAUUUAUUUUGAGAUUUUGAACCUUCACGAUGAGUUUAAUGAGAUGCAAUUUUUUCCAGCUCACAGAAAUUUGUGAGAUACAGGUAGGAACGCACAAAGUGACUUUUUUCAAAUUAGGUUUGAAAAAAUCGAAAAAUCAAUCCUGCACAUCAUUUUUUCAAUAAAGUUAAGCAUUCUGCUCUACAAAACAAUGAUUUAGGAUGCUAAUCACGGUAACGUACAGACAAAAUUGGAGAGUUCUGAAUUUUUGCGGAGCGACUGAAACUUAGAUAAUGCAUUUCACUUGCGAAAAGUGACAAAUAUUCUUCUCAAGUAGAUGAAAAUACCUGCAAAUAUUGUAAAAUUAGUUUUAAAACAAACUCGUUUGUUUGUAGCAAUUGUCAGUAUUUUUAAAGUUUUGAAUAUUUUUUCAGUUUUUCAAUUUUUCCAUGCUUUCUUCUGUAGCUCUUGACAAAAAGUUGUUUCUCUAACAUUGACAAACACAUAUUUGCUAGUGUAAAAAAACCCGUGGAUUUCAGAAAGUAGCAUGGAUAUCUUGCAUUGAUUUUGCAAGAUUUCGACCAGAAAGCCAGGUUACAUGGAUAUUCUUUGAUCUUGGCUCAUAUUUAAUAACACUAUUACAUGAAGGAGGAUUGUAAGAUGUUUUUUCAGGAAAGUCUUCUCGCUCAAAUGUGAUUUUUGAUUUCUUUCUAGGUUCACUUCAAUUCCUUUGAUAUAAGAACGGCAAACUUCACUCUCGAACAGCAAAAGUGUUACGGUCACAAA